rnacentral:tRNA from 1 species
GAACAAUUGGUGUAGUGGUUUUUGCAUUGGACUAUGAUUCUGGAGACCAGGGUUCAAAUCCCUGAUGCUGCA